rnacentral:rRNA from 1 species
UACAGAGACUGCAAGCGUUAUUCGGAUUCACUGGGCGUAAAGGGUGCGCAGGCGGUUGGGUGUGUCAGAUGUGAAAUCCCGAGGCUUAACCUCGGAACUGCGUCUGAAACUACUCGACUAGAGUACUGGAGAGGGAAACGGAAUUCACGGUGUAGCAGUGAAAUGCGUAGAUAUCGUGAGGAACACCAGAGGCGAAGGCGGUUUCCUGGACAGUUCCUGACACUGAGGCACGAAGGCCAGGGGAGCAAACGGG